rnacentral:rRNA from 1 species
UACAGAGGUCUCAAGCGUUGCUCGGAAUCACUGGGCGUAAAGGGCGCGUAGGCGGCGCGGGUAGUCAUCGGUGAAAGUUCAGGGCUCAACUCUGAAUCGGCCGGUGAUACUCUCGUGCUUGAGCACUGUAGAGGCAGGUGGAAUUCCGGGUGUAGCGGUGGAAUGCGUAGAGAUCCGGAAGAACACCGGUGGCGAAGGCGGCCUGCUGGGCAGUAGCUGACGCUGAUGCGCGACAGCGUGGGGAGCAAACAGG